UAAUUUUGUCUGUGUACAUGGAUGAAGGCUCCAGUAGUAGCCCUGAACUUUUUGGCUAUAGUAUUGACCUAAUUUAUUUUCAUCUCAAGUAGUUUUAUUGAAAUGUCACAUCAAUGAGGAUUCUUUAUUAGUAUCAAGAAUCAAAUUCCAUCAAUGAUUCAAAAGGGAGGUUCCCUUAUUAGUUAUUUUUCAAGCAAAUACAAGCCUAUCGAUUGGUUACCAUUUGGUUAAUUUGAGCCUCUUCUGUUCGAGUUAUGUGUCCUUGUCCUUGUUGCAUUAGCAGCUGAGCUGUACAUUGAUUAAAAUGUAUACUUCA
rnacentral:misc_RNA from 1 species